rnacentral:rRNA from 3 species
CGGACCUCAGAUCAGGCAAGACCACCCGCUGAGUUUAAGCAUAUCACUAAGCGGAGGAAAAGAAACUAA